rnacentral:rRNA from 1 species
GCGUAACGCGUGGGAAUCUGCCCUUGGGUUCGGAAUAACUUCGGGAAACUGAAGCUAAUACCGGAUGAUGACGAAAGUCCAAAGAUUUAUCGCCCAGGGAUGAGCCCGCGUAGGAUUAGCUAGUUGGUGGGGUAAAGGCCUACCAAGGCGACGAUCCUUAGCUGGUCUGAGAGGAUGAUCAGCCACACUGGGACUGAGACACGGCCCAGACUCCUACGGGAGGCAGCAGUAGGGAAUAUUGGACAAUGGGCGAAAGCCUGAUCCAGCAAUGCCGCGUGAGUGAUGAAGGCCUUAGGGUUGUAA